GAUGAACGUUGGCGGCGUGCCUAAGGUAUGCAUGUCGAACGAUUCCUUUGCUUUUGAGACUUCGGUCGAUAGAGCGCUUGGAAAUAGUGGCGAACGGGUGAGUAAUGCAUAGGUAACCUACCUCAAAGACGGAAAUAGCUCGCCGAAAGGCUAGGUAAUAUCCGAUGGUCCAAGUUGCCGUAAAGGUUUACUUGGUAAAACUACGGUGCUUUGAGAAGGGCUUAUGUCCUAUCAGCUUGUUGGUGAGGUAAAGGCUCACCAAGGCUAAGACGGGUAGCUGGCGUGAGAGCGCGGACAGCCACAGUGGAACUGCGACACGGUCCACACUCCUACGGGAGGCAGCAAUUAGGAAUCUUGCGCAAUGGGGGCAACCCUGACGCAGCGACGCCGCGUGGAGGAGGAAGGUCUUCGGAUUGUAAACUCCUUUUAUGUGGGAAGAAUAAAUGACUGUACCACACGAAUAAGUACCCGCUAACUACGUGCCAGAAGCAUCGGUGAUACGUAGGGUACAAACGUUAUCCGGAUUUAUUGGGCGUAAAGAGAUGCGUAGGCGUUUUGAAAAGUCUUAUGUCAAAUCCCUCUGCUCAACAGAGGACAGGCAUCGGAUACUAUCAGGAUUGAGAGAGGAAGGGGUGAGCGGAAUUUCCGGUGGAGCGGUAAAAUGCGUUGAUAUCGGAAGGAACACCAGAGGCGUAGGCGGCUCACUGGUCCUUUUCUGACGCUAAGGCUCGAAAGCAUGGGGAGCAAAACGGAUUAGAUACCCGUGUAGUCCAUGCUGUAAACGAUGAAUGCUAGGUGUUUGACACAAC
rnacentral:rRNA from 1 species